CCUACGGGAGGCUGCAGUGAGGAAUAUUGGUCAAUGGGCGUAAGCCUGAACCAGCCAAGUCGCGUGAGGGAUGAAGGUUCUAUGGAUCGUAUACCUCUUUUAUAAGGGAAUAAAGUGUGGGACGCGUCCUAUUUUGCAUGUACCUUAUGAAUAAGGAUCGGCUAACUCCGUGCCAGCAGCCGCGGUAAUACGGAGGAUCCGAGCGUUAUCCGGAUUUAUUGGGUUUAAAGGGUGCGUAGGCGGCCUUUUAAGUCAGCGGUGAAAGUCUGUGGCUCAACCAUGGAAUUGCCGUUGAAACUGGGGGGCUUGAGAAUAUUUGCGGCAGGCGGAAUGCGUGGUGUAGCGGUGAAAUGCUUAGAUAUCACACAGAACCCCGAUUGCGAAGGCAGCCUACCAAGCCAUGACUGACGCUGAGGCACGAAAGCGUGGGGAUCAAACAGGAUUAGAUACCCCGGUAGUC
rnacentral:rRNA from 1 species